rnacentral:lncRNA from 1 species
GGCAACGGAGCAGGCGGCUUCUCCGUCGGAGGUGGUGAACAAGGAGGCGGAGGUCGUGAGUAAGGCAGGGGUGGAGGUGGUUGACGUGAGAAAGGUUGGUAUGGAGAUGGAGAGAGGUGUUCUAGGGUUUGCGGAGUCGCAGAGGGAGAAGGCAAGUAACCCUGCUCUGAACAUGGAUUCUGGUGUAGAUGUAGGAGGGCA